GAUGAACGCUGGCGGCGUGCCUAAUACAUGCAAGUCGAGCGAACAGACGAGGAGCUUGCUCCUCUGACGUUAGCGGCGGACGGGUGAGUAACACGUGGAUAACCUACCUAUAAGACUGGGAUAACUUCGGGAAACCGGAGCUAAUACCGGAUAAUAUAUUGAACCGCAUGGUUCAAUAGUGAGAGACGGUUUUUCUGGCACUUAUAGAUGGAUCCGCGCCGGAUUGUCUGGUUGGUAAGGUAACAGCCUACCAAGGCAACGAUGCGUAGCCGACCGGAGAGGGGGGUAGGCCACAUGGGAAGGUGACCGCCGUCCAAGGUCCUGAGGGACGGACCAGUCAGGAAUGUGACGCAACGGGGGGAAACCUUGCAGAAUAAGCGCACGUCUGAUGUAGAAGCGCUGCGUUCGGAAAAACCGGCUUCUAGGGGAAAACCAAUUUGGAAGGUAACGAAGAGGGAUUGACGGUAACUAAUGAAGAAGCCCCGGCUAACUACGUG
rnacentral:rRNA from 1 species